rnacentral:lncRNA from 1 species
CCAUGGUAUGUGGCCUCCAAGGCUCUUUUCCUUCGAUGGUUUCUUUAUUACUACUGAAACAUGGACAAUUAAUCUUUUUCCAAUCACAAUCCUUUGGAACAAACCCUAGAUCUUCUUUGGAUCUCUCCUAGCUUCCUCUUGUUUCUCUAAGCAACGCCUCUUCCAAAGAUCUGGCCUUUUCCAAUCCAAGGUUUCAGUCUCAACUCUCUCAUGCUUAGGACUCAAUCCCCAUUUCUAUCCAAUCUCUUCGUUUGGAUGAUCUUUUAUUUAUUCCUAUGCUUUUGUAUAGGA